rnacentral:tRNA from 1 species
GCCCAGAUGGUGAAAUUGGUAAACACAAGGGACUUAAAAUCCCUCGAUCAUUUAUGAUCAUGCGGGUUCAAGUCCCGCUCUGGGUA